rnacentral:piRNA from 1 species
UAAUGUUCACUUUGAGACUCUCAUAUCUUC